GAUCAAUAUGGAGUAAGAGUCUCAAUUGUUGUAAACUAAGGAAAACACCAGAAAUCAUAUUUUUAUGUUGUACAGCAAUUAUAGCAAUGUUGCCAAUCCUUUACUAUCUAGCUGUAAGAUUCUGUGGACCAAUAAGAGACUUGCCCAAUGUGUUAAAGCAAUCAAGAUUUAAACAAACAAUUCUGAGGUCUAUGAAUAGAAGAAUGAAUUAAAAAGAAAAUCACAUGAAAAGUUGAACAAAAUUUAUUACUGCAUUUGUAUUUAUAUUUAACCAAAGACAUCAAAAAUAAAAUAUUUGGAUUCUUAAGUUGUUUAUGUAACCAAUACAA